CCACCUGGGUCAUAACAAAAACUAUUGCCAAAUAAGUAAUAGCAUAACACAUCUGCACUGUUGUCAGGAAAAUGAAAGGUUCAUAUAGUUGGCAACUUCAGGGUGUGUUUCUUAUUUUCAUGAUAUUUGGCACCCACAGGUUCUACCAUACACUCCAACCCCCCUUUUCCAGUGACAGAACCAAGUCUGAUCUCUGAGAAGUAGAGGCUAUGAUGCUUCACAGGUGCCAGGACAGAACAAGCUCCAGAUGACAAUAUUUAACAGGGACUUGACAUGCCUGUUAGUUCUGAUAGGACAAAGAGGAAAAUAUGCAUAUUGUAUUUAUAUCUCGUAGAUAUAACAUAUAUAUGUUGUAUGUACUUAAUAUCUAUAGAUAUAAAUAAAAAUAAGCAUAAAAUAUAAUAAAACAAUCAUCAUCAUCAUUUUAGCCAUUGACUAUCCACUACAGGAUGAAGGCCUCUAAUACGGUCCUGAACUUUCUUUUGCCAAUUGGGCCUGCAAUACUUGCUGAUGACGUCAGUCCAUCUUGUUUUAAAACAAUCUUAUAUAAAGCAAUAUAAUAAUACAAAGAAUAGUGGUGUUCACCAAGUACAAUGGUACAAUUUAAAGUACAAUUAGUACAAGAUUACUAUUGGUGUAAUAGAACAAAGAGAAGAUAUAUCAGAGGUAUAUAUACAUAUAUAGGUCAGAUAGAAGUGAAAUAUAAGCUUUAGAUUCUGUGCCAGGAUAUUCAGAGUGAGAUAAAUAAAUGUGUAGGACAACUGAAAAUUUGUCUAAUUUUCAUUAACUUAUUAAUAAGUAAUUAGAGACUUUUGUAAACUAGCUAGCUAGAUUAGCUAUUUCUUUGACUGCAAGUAGUAACAUUUCUUUAACACCUGCCAGAGUCAGCUAGAGAGGUUGGCAACAAAUACUGCAUAGGCUGCACACAAAUCUGUCUCACAAACUAGCUGACAGGAUGUGGUUUUAAUACUUGGCUGAGAUACAUUGCAAAUGAGUUGCUACUGGAAAAUAAGAGAGGUGGCAAGAAUUAAGAGAGGUGGCAGGAUAUUUAGCUAGCAGUGUUUAGGGGUAUACAGAUAAGAAUCUGGCAAUGAACAAAAUUUAUCAUUAUCAUAGUAAAAACAGUGGUAGUCAACAUAUGAAAAAUGAAGUAGGAGUGAAAAGUUAAUAGAGUAUUAUGGGAUGAUUUUGCCUUGUGCGCAGGUAUGACUAUCACAGAUCAAAAAAAUUCUUACUGUUGUUUUCUGUGGUAAAUUAUACAAAAAUUGUACAAAAAUAACUUGGUCUAAUAUCUGUCACACUCCCUGGAUGUGAAAUUCAGAGGUGUCCUUAUCUGCUUCUGUACAGAAAUAAAAGAGUUUUGUCUUUUCUUGA